GACGAACGCUGGCGGCGUGCUUAACACAUGCAAGUCGAACGGAAAGGCCUGCUUUCCCUUGUGGAUUGCGGGUACUCGAGUGGCGAACGGGUGAGUAACACGUGAGUGAUCUGCCCCCAACUUGGGUAUAAGCCUGGGAAACUGGGUCUAAUUCCCGAUAGGACUGCAGGGUGGUGCCUGUGGUGGAAAACGAUUUUCUAGUGGUUGGGGAUGAGCUCGCGGCCUAUCAGCUUGUUGGUGGGGUAAUGGCCUACCAAGGCGGCGACGGGUAGCCGGCCUGAGAGGGUGGACGGCCACAUUGGGACUGAGAUACGGCCCAGACUCCUACGGGAGGCAGCAGUGGGGAAUAUUGCACAAUGGGCGGAAGCCUGAUGCAGCGACGCCGCGUGGGGGAUGACAGCCUUCGGGUUGUAAACUCCUUUCGACCGCGAGGAAGCCACCUGGUUGGAAGGGUGGUGACGGUAGUGGUAGAAGAAGCACCGGCUAACUACGUG
rnacentral:rRNA from 1 species